GUUCAGUUUUAUUGAGAUAUAAUUGACAUACAGCACUGUAGAAGUUCAAGGUGUACGGCGUAAUGAUUCGACUUACAAACAUUGUGGGAUGAUCACAGAGUUAUAUGUUUUGGGGUCUUCUAUUUAAGUUUUUACUCCUUUCAAGUGAAAUGGAGGAAAAUCAGACCGUGGUUACAGAAUUCAUCCUCCUGG